AAAUUACUCCCUCCGUCCGGAAAUACUUGUUGGAGAAAUGAAUGUAUUUAGAUGUAUUUUAGUUUUAGAUACAUCUAUUUUUAUUCAUUUUCACGACAAGUAAUUCCGGACGGAGGGAGUACAAG
rfam:Triticum aestivum genome assembly, contig: Triticum_aestivum_CS42_TGACv1_scaffold_097251_2AL